UACGGAGGAUGCAAGCGUUAUCCGGAAUGAUUGGGCGUAAAGCGUCCGCAGGUGGCUAUGUAAGUCUGCUGUUAAAGAGUGAGGCUCAACCUCAUAAGAGCAGUGGAAACUACAUGGCUAGAGUGCGUUCGGGGCAGAGGGAAGUUCCUGGUGUAGCGGUGAAAUGCGUAGAGAUCAGGAAGAACAUCGGUGGCGAAGGCGCUCUGCUGGACCAUAACUGACACUCAGGGACGAAAGCUAGGGGAGCGAAUGGG
rnacentral:rRNA from 1 species